AGCAGGGUGGCUUAGUGGAAAGAGCAUGGGCUUGGGAGUCAGAGGUCAUGGGUUCUAAUCCCACCUCUGCCC
rnacentral:tRNA from 1 species